rnacentral:rRNA from 1 species
GAUGAACGCUGGCGGCGUGCUUAACACAUGCAAGUCGAACGAAGCACUUUAUUUGAUUUCCUUCGGGACUGAUUAUUUUGUGACUGAGUGGCGGACGGGUGAGUAACGCGUGGGUAACCUGCCUUGUACAGGGGGAUAACAGUUGGAAACGGCUGCUAAUACCGCAUAAGCGCACAGCAUCGCAUGAUGCAGUGUGAAAAACUCCGGUGGUAUAAGAUGGACCCGCGUUGGAUUAGCUAGUUGGUGAGGUAACGGCCCACCAAGGCGACGAUCCAUAGCCGACCUGAGAGGGUGACCGGCCACAUUGGGACUGAGACACGGCCCAAACUCCUACGGGAGGCAGCAGUGGGGAAUAUUGCACAAUGGGCGAAAGCCUGAUGCAGCGACGCCGCGUGAGCGAAGAAGUAUUUCGGUAUGUAAAGCUCUAUCAGCAGGGAAGAUAAUGACGGUACCUGACUGAGAAGCACCGGCUAAAUACGUG